UACGUAGGGUGCGAGCGUUGUCCGGAAUUAUUGGGCGUAAAGGGCUCGUAGGCGGUCUGUCGCGUCGGGAGUGAAAACUCAGGGCUUAACCCUGAGCCUGCUUCCGAAUACGGGCAGACUAGAGGUAUGCAGGGGAGAACGGAAUUCCUGGUGUAGCGGUGAAAUGCGCAGAUAUCAGGAGGAACACCGGUGGCGAAGGCGGUUCUCUGGGCAUUACCUGACGCUGAGGAGCGAAAGUGUGGGGAGCGAACAGG
rnacentral:rRNA from 1 species